rnacentral:rRNA from 1 species
AUGUUUCGUAUCCAGUCUUUGCAAAACAUGGCUAUGUUGAAAGAGCCACACAAAAGGCUAUUGAAGUCAAUUCCACAACUUCACCACUUGGUUAUUCAUCAUCAACAUCGGAAAGUACUCUUCUUGCACCACCAACACUCUUUGAGACUUCUUUUUCAUGAAGCUCUUGUUUUGGAAAGAUUUGGACUUGUCCUUGUGGAUGAGCUUGCCUCCAUUGUUUUCCCUCUUCUCGUAUGUGUAAUCGACAAUGAAGUGACUCACGUUUCCAUAAUUGUAGCAAGUCCUAACUCUUUGACAGAUCUAUUAUAA